AUCCCAUUCAGCCCUCAGUCCCCACUAGUUUCCUUGGAUCCCCUCGGAGGCCUUCCCGCCGGGUCUGUGGGACUUUACCACACCACUUUGGCAUAACACAUCCAAGACGAUACCCAAUCCAGCAGGCCCAGUAUUCCUGUGUGCUUCCCACGCUGUGCCGGAAUGGAGGUCACAGGAAGCAUGUGCUGUCUCGUGGUAAUUCCAGAGUGGUGUGCAGGCCUUUGACAAUGAGGAACGCUCCUCCCGGGAGCAACCUGGCUCAUUUUCCAAUGUAAGCAUUGGUGGAGGAACAGACUCCCAGUGUGUCCACUUUAUUCUCCUGCAGUUGUUCAUCUGAGAGAAUAACUAACUCAAAGGAAAGGAAGAAGCUCCUUAUGUGAGGGAGAAAUCUCAAGUUCCAGUUAUUGAGGAGUUUUUUAUUUUCUGGGUUUUUCCCAAGACUGUAGCUUAACAGCUAAGUUUGUGUGAAGCAGCGCAGAUCCCUAAGGCCCCAGACCCGUGGUCAAAGGAGGCUGUUCUGAGGGCCCUCGAACGUUGGAAGAGGAAGAAAAGGACAGUGGAGGAGGAGGAAGACCAAACAUCUGCUGGUCAGGAGGACAAAAGAAGGUGCCAUGACAGCAGUGGGAGUGGCCAUUCAGCUUUUAAGCCCGAGGUGGCCAACGGAGUCCCUGCUGCUUUUGUGCCUGAGCCUGGGCCUCUGAAGAGAGGCCUCAGUUCCCAGAGCUCAGAUGGCAAGCUGCGUAAGAGAACCUGCACCUCUGCUGUGAGCUGCUCGAAGGGCACGUGUGCAUGUGGCAUCCGUAUGUCCAGCCGCAAUGCCAUUACCAGUUCCUACACUUCUACUGGAGGCAUCUCUCAGCUCUGGAAGAGGCGUCCCAGUGCCUCACCCUUCUCCAGCCCAGCCUCGUCCGGCUCUCAGACACGAGAGAGUCCAGAAAAGAAAAUGAGAGAAGAGGACGGUCCUCAGGGAUCUGGCUCUUCCUCUCCGCCGGUAAACAAGGAGUCCCAGGGAGAACAGGGUA